rnacentral:rRNA from 1 species
UACGUAGGGGGCAAGCGUUGUCCGGAAUCAUUGGGCGUAAAGAGCGUGUAGGCGGCUCGGUAAGUCCGCUGUGAAAGUCCAGGGCUCAACCCUGGAAUGCCGGUGGAAACUGUCGAGCUAGAGUCCGGAAGAGGCGAGUGGAAUUCCUGGUGUAGCGGUGAAAUGCGCAGGAUAUCAGGAGGAACACCAAUGGCGAAGGCAGCUCGCUGGGACGGUACUGACGCUGAGACGCGAAAGCGUGGGAGCAAACAGG